UACGGGGGGAGCAAGCGUUGUUCGGAUUUACUGGGCGUAAAGGGCGCGUAGGCGGCCACCGCAAGUCAAUUGUGAAAUCUCCGGGCUUAACUCGGAAAGGUCAACUGAUACUGCGGGGCUAGAGUGCGGAAGGGGCAACUGGAAUUCUCGGUGUAGCGGUGAAAUGCGUAGAUAUUGGGAGGAACACCAGUGGCGAAGGCGGCUCACUGGACCGGAACUGACGCUGAGGCGCGAAAGCGUGGGGAGCAAACAGG
rnacentral:rRNA from 1 species